rnacentral:rRNA from 1 species
GACGAACCGUGCGAACGUUGUUCGGAAUCACUGGGCUUAAAGGGCGCGUAGGCGGCUCCGCCAGUCGGGGGUGAAAUCCCACAGCUUAACUGUGGAAGUGCCUUCGAUACUGCGGGGCUCGAGCGAGGUAGGGGCAGAGGGAAUUUCCGGUGGAGCGGUGAAAUGCGUAGAGAUCGGAAAGAACACCAACGGCGAAAGCACUCUGCUGGGCCGACACUGACACUGAGAGACGAAAGCUAGGGGAGCGAAUGGG